rnacentral:rRNA from 1 species
CUAAUGCCGGAUAUUGUGUCCUACUGCAUAGUAGGUUAACGAAAGAUUUAUCGUUGUGGGAUGAGCUUGCGUCCGAUUAGCUAGUUGGCGGGGUAAUAGCCCACCAAGGCGACGAUCGGUAGCCGGCCUGAGAGGGUGUUCGGCCACAUUGGGACUGAGAUACGGCCCAGACUCCUACGGGAGGCAGCAGUAGGGAAUAUUGCGCAAUGGGGGGAACCCUGACGCAGCAACGCCACGUGUGGGAAGAAGCAUUUCGGUGUGUAAACCACUGUCGGAAAGGAAUAACGGAAGACUUCGGUCUUUAUGAAUGUACUUUUAGAGGAAGCACCGGCAAACUUCGUGCCAGCAGCCGCGGUAAUACGAGGGGUGCAAGCGUUGUUCGGAAUCACUGGGCGUAAAGGGAGCGUAGGCGGAAGUGCAAGCAAUCUGUAUAAUCCUGGGGCCCAACCCCAGUUCUGCAGAUUGGACUGUAUUUCUUGAAUAGUUCAGAGGCAAGCGGAAUUUCUGGUGUAGCGGUGGAAUGCGUAGAGAUCAGAAAGAACACCAAUGGCGAAGGCAGCUUGCUGGGGACUUAUUGACGCUGAGGCUCGAAAGUGUGGGUAGCAAACAGGAUUAGACACCCUGGUAGUCCACACUGUAAACGAUGCAUACUGGGUGUCCGAAAUUCGUUUCGGGUACCGUAGCUAACGCGUUAAGUAUGCCGCCUG